rnacentral:rRNA from 1 species
GUCGCGUGAGGGAAUAAGGCCCUAUGGGUCGUAAACCUCUUUUGUCAGGGAGCAAAGGCGUCCACGUGUGGACGAGAGGAGAGUACCUGAAGAAAAAGCAUCGGCUAACUCCGUGCCAGCAGCCGCGGUAAUACGGAGGAUGCGAGCGUUAUCCGGAUUUAUUGGGUUUAAAGGGUGCGUAGGCGGAGUGUCAAGUCAGCGGUAAAAUUUCGGGGCUCAACCCCGUCGUGCCGUUGAAACUGACACCCUUGAGUGAGUGAGAAGUAAGCGGAAUGCGUGGUGUAGCGGUGAAAUGCAUAGAUAUCACGCAGAACGCCGAUUGCGAAGGCAGCUUACCGGCGCUCAACUGACGCUGAGGCACGAAAGUGCGGGUAUCGAACAGGAUUAGAUACCCUGGUAGUCCGCACAGUAAACGAUGAAUGCUAGAUGUCCGGGGCGAAUGAGCUCUGG